rnacentral:rRNA from 12 species
GGCGACUUAUAAGUAGUGGCAGGUUAAGGCAGAGAAUGCCGGAGCCAUAGUGAAAGCGAGCCUAAAUAGGGCAUAUGUCACUGGUUAUAGACCCGAACCCGGAUGAUCUAACCAUGGUCAGGUUGAAGCUUAGGUAAUACUAAGUGGAGGACCGAACCGACUGAUGUUGAAAAAUCAGCGGAUGAACUGUGGUUAGGGGUGAAAUGCCAAUCGAAUUCGGAGCUAGCUGGUUCUCCCCGAAAUGCGUUUUGGCGCAGCGAUAAAUGUUAUAACUUAGGGGUAAAGCACUGUUACGUAUGCGGGCUGGUAAUUCGGUACCAAAUCGUUGCAAACUAAGAAUACUAAGUGUACAGUUUAUCAGUGAGACUGUGGGGGAUAAGCUCCAUUGUCAAGAGGGAAACAGCCCAGAGCACCAGUUAAGGCCCCUAAAUAAUUGCUAAGUGGUAAAGGAGGUGGGAGUGCAUAAACAAUCAGGAGGUUUGCUUAGAAGCAGCAAUCCUUUAAAGAGUGCGUAAUAGCUCACUGAUCGAGUAAACCUGCGCCGAAAAUGUAUGGGACUAAGUAAUUUGCCGAAACUGUGCGAUAUAUUAAAAAUAUAUCGGUAGGGGAGCGUUCUGUUGUAGAUUGAAGUAUUAGCGGAAGCGGAUAUGGACGAAGCAGAAGUGAGAAUGUCGGCUUGAGUAACGAAAAUAUAGGUGAGAAUCCUAUACCCCGAAAACCCAAGGUUUCCUCCGGAAGGCUCGUCCGCGGAGGGUAAGUCAGGACCUAAGGCGAGGCUGAAAAGCGUAGUCGAUGGACAACGGGUUAAUAUUCCCGUACCAUUAUUUAUUGAUAACGAGGGACGGAGAAGGCUAAACUGGCCGGAUAUUGGUUUACCGGUUUAAACGUUCAAGAUGAUGAGAGACGGCGAAAACGUUUUGAGUUGAGGCGUGAGUACGAGAUGCUACGGCGUCGAAGCAGUGUAUGUCAGACUUCCAAGAAAAGCUCGCAAUGUCGCAGAUAAAUAAUGCCUGUACCAUAACCGACACAGGUGGGUAGGUAGAGUAUACUAAGGGGCGCGAGAUAACUCUCUCUAAGGAACUCGGCAAAAUGACUCCGUAACUUCGGGAGAAGGAGUGCCUUAUUUAUAAGGUUGCAACAACAAGAUCCAAGCAACUGUUUACCAAAAACACAGGUCUCCGCUAAGUCGUAAGACGAUGUAUGGGGGCUGACGCCUGCCCAGUGCCAGAAGGUUAAAGAAGUUGGUUAGCAUUAGCGAAGCUUAUAACUGAAGCCCUGGUGAACGGCGGCCGUAACGAUAACGGUCCUAAGGUAGCGAAAUUCCUUGUCGGGUAAGUUCCGACCCGCACGAAAGGCGUAAUGAUUUGGAUACUGUCUCGGAGAGGGGCUCGGUGAAAUAGACUUGUCUGUGAAGAUGCGGACUACCUGCACCAGGACAGAAAGACCCUAUGAAGCUUUACUGUAACUUGAAAUUGAAAUUGGACUUUAUUUGCGCAGUAUAGGUGGGAGGCGUUGAAAAUAUUCUUGUGGGAAUAUUAGAGCCAUCAGUGAGAUACCACUCUUGUAAUGUUAGAUUUCUAACUUUGAAUCAUUAUCUGGUCAAAGAACAGUUUCAGGCGGGCAGUUUGACUGGGGCGGGCGCCUCCCAAAUGGUAACGGAGG